rnacentral:rRNA from 1 species
CGCGUAGGCGGUUUUUCAAGUCGUAUGUGAAAACUUCAGGCUUAACCUGAUGAUUGCAUAUGAAACUGGAUAACUUGAGUACAGCAGAGGAAAGUGGAAUUCCUGGUGUAGCGGUGAAAUGUGCAGAUAUCAGGAAGAACACCAGUAGCGAAGGCGGCUUUCUGGGCUGCUACUGACGCUGAGGCGCGAAAGCUAGGGGAGCAAACA